GAUGAACGCUGGCGGCGUGCCUAAUACAUGCAAGUCGAGCGAACAGACCAGGAGCUUGCUCCUCUGACGUUAGCGGCGGACGGGUGAGUAACACGUGGAUAACCUACCUAUAAGACUGGGAUAACUUCGGGAAACCGGAGCUAAUACCGGAUAAUAUAUUGAACCGCAUGGUUCAAUAGUGAAAGACGGUUUUGCUGUCACUUAUAGAUGGAUCCGCGCCGCAUUAGCUAGUUGGUAAGGUAACGGCUUACCAAGGCAACGAUGCGUAGCCGACCUGAGAGGGUGAUCGGCCACACUGGAACUGAGACACGGUCCAGACUCCUACGGGAGGCAGCAGUAGGGAAUCUUCCGCAAUGGGCGAAAGCUUGACGGAGCAACGCCGCGUGAGUGAUGAAGGUCUUCGGAUCGUAAAACUCUGUUAUUAGGGAAGAACAAAUGUGUAAGUAACUAUGCACGUCUUGACGGUACCUAAUCAGAAAGCCACGGCUAAAUACGUG
rnacentral:rRNA from 1 species